rnacentral:rRNA from 1 species
AACGAACGCUGGCGGCAUGCCUAACACAUGCAAGUCGAACGAAGCCUUCGGGCUUAGUGGCGCACGGGUGCGUAACGCGUGGGAAUCUGCCCUUGGGUACGGAAUAACAGUGAGAAAUUACUGCUAAUACCGUAUGAUGUCUUCGGACCAAAGAUUUAUCGCCCAAGGAUGAGCCCGCGUAGGAUUAGCUAGUUGGUGAGGUAAAGGCUCACCAAGGCUACGAUCCUUAGCUGGUCUGAGAGGAUGAUCAGCCACACUGGGACUGAGACACGGCCCAGACUCCUACGGGAGGCAGCAGUGGGGAAUAUUGGACAAUGGGCGAAAGCCUGAUCCAGCAAUGCCGCGUGAGUGAAGAAGGCCUUCGGUUGUAAAGGCUCUUUUACCCGGGAACGAUAAUGACCGUACCGGGAGAAUAAGCCCGGCUAACUCCGUGCCAGCAGCCGCGGUAAU